GCCCAUGCUCAGUUGGUAGAGCAUGGUGUUUGCAACGCCAGCAUGGUGUGUGCAACGCCAGGGUUGUGGGUUCGAUUCCCACGGGGGGCC
rnacentral:tRNA from 1 species